GAAAAGGGAUCAAAUUUGCAAUUUCAUAGCAGUUUUGGGUAAUACUGAUGAUAUUACAGCGGAGGGAUAGGGGGUGUAAAGUGUCUUUCUGCAGAGCAGUCAUUGUGUCGGAAGUGAGAUUUUCACCCCAGUCAACUUCAAAUCCGUGUAGCAAAAAAUCUAAAUGGUCAACCCCCUACAAAAUUAUGAUGAGGAGAUUGCCAAAUGUUGUCCCCAUUGUGCCUAUAAAGAUUGGAACCAACGGAAUGUUGAGAAAAAAGCUACAGCCUGUGAUGUUACAGCCAUUUAACAUUGAAGUCAAUGGGCAAAUAAUUGCUAGUCUGAGUCCUGAUGAGAUAAAGAAACAUGGCCGACUCGGGAUGUUGAUAUUUUUUCAAGGGCUUAUUUCCUGAAGUUUUGAAUGGAAAGUGUCAGAAAUAGUAAGAAUACUGCUUUUUUAUUGCCCAGCAGUGCCAGGGCAAUGUUUCAUAGAGUGGAAUGAUUGACCUCAACACAAGUAUUAAAAAAAAAGAAGCAAAACAGGUCUACAUCUCAAAACCUGAUCUCUUCCUGGACUGGCUUUAGGAGAACGAUGAUGCAUAUCAAUUUCAUCCCUGAUCUCUAUGACACCUGUGGUGGAAGUGGAGGGCAAAUCGUAAUCAGUUUGGGACCUCUGUAAACUUUGCUUUUUGGUGAUGACUUAAUUUCCGAGCUUGAAAAGGACGCUUGUGUGUUUAUCAUGGCCUCUCAUAUUGGAAGAUAACAUUAAUGGCUUGUGUGUUGAUCGACGGUUGUGCAUAUCUCUUGGUCAGGAAAGUUGUAGGCACCAUCGCCAUUGUAAAUCAUUUGACAGGCUCGAGUGAACGGGGCGACCUAUGAUUGGUCAGCAAUGUAUCAGAUUCCAUACCGGGGGGUGGGGAUGAAAAAACUGUUGUAGUGUUACAUAAUCAGAUUAUUUCAACUUACUUAUCCUGUGGAAAUACAGCUAUAUAGGAGAUAUUUUGAAAUUCAUAGGCACUGCAUGUUUCAACAUUUUAGAUUUGACCACAAUUUGGCACUUAAAACUAUGUUAACAGAGAAAAACUGUGUGGUUUUCGAUGAAAGUGUUAAAAGUCUAAUAUUGCAUCAUGAUUACUGUUUUAAAGUAUUUUCGUGUUUGAUUUAUAUUGAAUUCAUCUCAUCUUUUUGAAGAAUGCAUUUAUGUUCAAAAAUAAAAAUGUUCUGUGGAAUUCAAAAUUCAUGUGCUUUUAAAUUAUCAGAUUCCAAACUGGGGGGUAGGGAUGAAAAAGCUGUUGUAGUGUUACAUAAUCAGAUUAUUUCAACUUACUUAUCCUAUGGAAAUACAGCUAUAUAGGAGAUAUUUUAAAAUUGAUAGGCACUGCAUGUUUCAACAUUUUAGAUUUGACCACAAUUUGGCACUUGAAACUACGUUAACAGAGAAAAACUGUGUGGUUUUCGAUGAAAGUGUUAAAAAGUCUAAUAUUGCAUCAUGAUUACUGUUUUAAAGUAUUUUCGUGUUUGAUUUAUAUUGAAUUUAUCUCAUCUUUUUACAGAAUGCAUUUAUGUUCAAAAAUAAAAAUGUUCUG